GGGGGGGGGUGGUUAUGUUUUGGUCCUUUGCCUUCUCCGGGACGCUAUGUGUUUAUUUUCCCUCUGAUGUGUGAGAUAGGCAGCCCCAACACACACACACUUCUUCAAAGACUCUGAUCGGUUAGCAAGUGUUUUAGAGGCUUCAACUUUGCAACACAGACACACACAGGCAGAUGGCCUUGUGGCUUAAACACACCUGCUGGCAUCAUUAAACAAAUGCGCAGCAUACGAUCCGAGGGCCCAGGCAAAUGUACCCAAAGUGUGUGUGUGUCUGUCUGUGUGUGUGUCUGUCUGUGUGUGUGUGUCUGUGUGUGUGUGUGUGUGUGUGUGUCAAGACUGAUUGCCAUAAGCUCUAUCGUGAGGCUGCAUUCUCCAGCUGCACUACACUACUCCUCUCCAGUAUUCUUUUUCUUUCUCAUGCACGCAAGCUCGCACACACAUACUCUUUGGACAGGUGUUUGUCUCUUUAAGGUGUUCGAUAUCCAUACGGUUUCCUUUGUGCUCCUGACUGAAGCCUCAUUCUGUCUGUGUGUGUGUGUGUGUGUGUGUGUGUGUGUGUGUUUCCCCCUACUGGCUGCCUGUGGUAAUGACGAAGACGAGCUCACCUGGAGCAACCCCACCCCCCCCCCCCCCCCAGCAGCACAUAAACAACCCUCUCCUCUCAUACUGUACCUGUUGAGAACCAGAGGGAGGGCCUGUGUUCACUGAUGAAUUAAGCUGCUAAAAGUGUGUGUGUGUGUGUGUGUGUGUGUGUUGGGUUAAUGGCAUGGCCUGCUGUGUUCCUCGGUCUCCCAUACUCGCACCUUCCCCAAAGUCAGAAGCUCAUCUACAGUGUUCUCUCUACUAUGUCCUUAUAUAUGUCCUGUGUGUGUGUGUGUGUGUGUGUGUGUGUGUGUGUGUGUGUGUGUGUGUGUGUGUGUGUGUGUGUGUGUGUGUGUGUGUGUGUGUGUGUGUGUGUGUGUGUGUGUGUGUGUGUGUGUGUCACUCUCGCCUCACCUGAACCCCCAUGCAACCCUCUAUCAGCAGCGACCAAUGGUGACGUUCUGUUCCUGUAGUGAUGGCAAGCGCCUGCUGCUGAUUGGCCAUUUGUUUGGGUAGUAUUGAUGUCUUGGACCGUAACGAUGGCACCCCUCUGCUCACGUCGUCUACCUGCCCUGCCACAGGGGGGCGCUAUCUCCCUCUGACUUGCCUAGAAACAGGUGCUUCAAAGCCUCAAGUGUUACAGGGACUCGGCCCGUCAGCGUGUGCUUUAGGUGGUGGCUGACUUUCUAUUCUACAAGGGUCCCAUUCUGUGUAUGUGUGUGUGUGUGUGUGUUUUGUGUGUGUGUUUUGAGCCAAGCUCACAGCACAUUUGUGUAGCAGGGAUUGCCAAAUAUGCCCCGUGAAGACUGAGUACAGUCACCAAGUCUCAAGUCUGUGUGUGUGUGUGUGUGUGUGUGUGUGUUCUGUUCAUGAUUAGCAGUGUUCUUGUGGGUCCUCCCACUAUCCCAUUCAGAGAGGUUGUGUGUGUGUGUGAGUGUGAGAGAAACUCCCAGCCCUCCUCUGCCACCCCCACUUACUUCUUGUGCUUGUUGCCACUCAGAGUGUUUGGUUAUUGCCCCCGUUUUGCCCCCCCUCCCCUUAUGAUUGCACUAGAGGCCCAUAUGGCACUUGUGUCCCAGUCAGCCCCAGUCAAUCCAGAGUCCACUUAUUACCCCUCUCCUCCAGACACCUCACAGGGUAGGGUUGGAGGGUGGCUACGUUCACACAAAUAAGACCAGUAAUGUUUAUAUUGUACAGGAUAGGAAUGAUUGUAUAGAAGAUAUGAGGCUUUUUUUUUUUUAACCUGGCGGAGGGAAUGCAGGUGAUGACGACAUAGCCUUCCUUUUUUUUAUGAAGAAAAUCAAAAAGAGACGGUGUAUUUAAAAAAAAAAAAAGAAACACAACAAAAAAUAUAAAUAAAUAAAUCAUAUUUUCAGGGAUCAUUAAGAAAAGAAGACGUAGAGGGGUGGAUUCACUGAACGUUUAAAGGAGACAAAACUAAAGGUUCAUCUUGUACAGAACACCCGAUCUGAAAACCUUCCCUUUGAAAGAUUGUUUCUUGUAGAAACGUCUUCUUUCGGCCCCAUUUCUUGUUUUGGUUUUGUUUUCUUUCUAAUCUUAAAGUGUAAAUACUUUAACUGUGAAUAUAAAUAUAUAUAUUUUUUUGUUCUUGAGGAUGUGCUGCAGAGAUACAGCUCAGAGAUGUGUUGGUGUGUGUGAGUUUGUGUGUGUGUGUGUGUGUGUGUGUACACACAUGUAUGUAUGUGUGUGUGUGUGUGUGAGUGAGAGAGAGCGAGACGGCGUAGGAACAGCACGGAGCUGGAGGCAGUCAUUUCAGCUUGUGUCAAGCUUUAUUUUUUAUUUUGGGUUGUAAAUUCUAUGAAGACUUGUUUGCAGUGUGGGAAACCAGAGCAUUACGAUGCAGAAUUGGCCAGGGGACCGGGCGGCUUCACCUCCUAGCCCCUGGUCUAUUUAUUACACCAUCAAGUUUAUCGCGAGAAAAAAAAUCAUGAAAAAUAAAGUCAUUUUU